UACGUAGGGUGCAAGCGUUAAUCGGAAUUACUGGGCGUAAAGCGUGCGCAGGCGGCUUUGCAAGACAGAUGUGAAAUCCCCGGGCUUAACCUGGGAACCGCAUUUGUGACUGCAUAGCUGGAGUACGGCAGAGGGGGAUGGAAUUCCGCGUGUAGCAGUGAAAUGCGUAGAUAUGCGGAGGAACACCAGUGGCGAAGGCGACUAUCUGGGGUGCAACUGACGCUGAGGCGCGAAGGCUAGGGUAGCAAACAGG
rnacentral:rRNA from 1 species